rnacentral:lncRNA from 1 species
CACGGGAGGAGGUUGGCGUCGUCGGAGUCUCUUGUGCUGCUUGGAGGGUCGAAGCGGCUCCUGGGAGGGUUAUGAAGCUGGCAAUCCUUUAAGGCUGCACAUAUAAAGAAG